AAAUUGAAGAGUUUGAUCAUGGCUCAGAUUGAACGCUGGCGGCAGGCCUAACACAUGCAAGUCGAGCGGCAGCGGGAAAGUAGCUUGCUACUUUUGCCGGCGAGCGGCGGACGGGUGAGUAAUGCCUGGGAAAUUGCCCAGUCGAGGGGGAUAACAGUUGGAAACGACUGCUAAUACCGCAUGCGCCCUACGGGGGAAAGCAGGGGACCUUCGGGCCUUGCGCGAUUG
rnacentral:rRNA from 1 species